rnacentral:rRNA from 1 species
CUCGUAGGUGGCCAACUAAGUCAGACGUGAAAUCCCUCGGCUUAACCGGGGAACUGCGUCUGAUACUGGAUGGCUCGAGUUUGGGAGAGGGAUGCGGAAUUCCAGGUGUAGCGGUGAAAUGCGUAGAUAUCUGGAGGAACACCGGUGGCGAAGGCGGCAUCCUGGACCAACACUGACACUGAGGAGCGAAAGCCAGGGAGCAAACG